GUACGGGGGGGGGCAAGCGUUGUUCGGAAUUACUGGGCGUAAAGGGCUCGUAGGCGGCCAACUAAGUCCGACGUGAAAUCCCCAGGCUUAACCUGGGAACUGCGUCGGAUACUGGAUGGCUUGAAUCCGGGAGAGGGAUGCGGAAUUCCAGGUGUAGCGGUGAAAUGCGCAGAUAUCAGGAGGAACACCAAUGGCGAAGGCAGCACUCUGGGACGUGACUGCGCUGAGACGCGAAAGCGUGGGGAGCAAACAGGAUUGAGA
rnacentral:rRNA from 1 species